GAGGGUUCUGCCCUCAUGACCUUUUCACCUUCCGGAGGUCCUGCCUCCUAGCCCCAUCACCUUGCGGGUCCCCAUCGCCCUGUUCUUGCGACAUCCUGGGAAAGCGACCCCGGUGGCCGAGCCCAGUGUGCCUUCCUGGACCCAUCACUUGGCACCCUGCACAUGCUCCUGACGGCAACUCUACUAGAUAUUAUUCUUCACGUAUUUGCAAGAAUCCUAAAGAUUGCUGACUUGAGCUUCCAGGUAUCCUAAAGUCUGGUUCAAAUGUAGUAAGUCCCAACCGUACUCUGUGCAGCACCUGGGCACUGCUGUGUGGUGGAAUAUCCUGUCCUGUUCUGGUUAUUGAUCACUGAUCAUUACAUAAGGAGCUUCUACACAUGUGCACCAUUAAAGACCCACCACAUCAUUAUGCUCUUGGAUUCCACUGGCCAGGAAGUUGGCAAGGUGGGGAGGCUGGCUUAUCUCUGAUCC
rnacentral:lncRNA from 10 species